rnacentral:tRNA from 1 species
GCCGGGUUGGUGGAACGGUAGACACCGAGCUCUCAAAAUGCUCUGCCCGCAAGGGCGUGCGGGUUCGAAUCCCGCACCCGGCA